rnacentral:rRNA from 1 species
UACAAGGUGCUGCAUGGUUGUCGUCAGCUCGUGCCGUGAGGUGCCGGGUUAAGUCCCAUAACGAGCGCAACCCCUAUCAUUAGUUGCCAUCAGGUCAAGCUGGGGACUCUAAUGAAACUGCCUACGCAAGUAGUGAGGAAGUGGGGAUGACGUCAAAUCAGCACGGCCCUUACGUCCAGGGCUACACACGUGCUACAAUGGCCGGUACAAAGGGCAGCUACCUGGUGACAGGAUGCUAAUCUCAAAAGCCGGUCUCAGUUCGGAUCGGAGUCUGCAACCCGACUCCGUGAGGCUGGAAUCGCUAGUAAUCGCGCAUCAGCCAUGGCGCGGUGAAUACGUUCCCGGGCCUU